GAUGAACGCUGGCGGCGUGCUUAACACAUGCAAGUCGAACGAUGAAAGCGGGAGCUUGCUCCUGCUGGAUUAGUGGCGAACGGGUGAGUAACACGUGAGCAAUCUGCCCCGAACUCUGGGAUAAGCGUUGGAAACGACGUCUAAUACCGGAUACGACGCGCGAAGGCAUCUUCUGCGCGUGGAAAGAAUUUCGGUUCGGGAUGAGCUCGCGGCCUAUCAGCUAGUUGGUGAGGUAACGGCUCACCAAGGCGACGACGGGUAGCCGGCCUGAGAGGGUGACCGGCCACACUGGGACUGAGACAUGGCCCAGACUCCUACGGGAGGCAGCAGUGGGGAAUAUUGCACAAUGGGCGAAAGCCUGAUGCAGCAACGCCGCGUGAGGGACGACGGCCUUCGGGUUGUAAACCUCUUUUAGUAGGGAAGAAGCGAAAGUGACGGUACCUGCAGAAAAAGCACCGGCUAACUACGUGCCAGCAGCCGCCGUAAAAC
rnacentral:rRNA from 1 species